UUCUUUAAAACUAUGUGAUCAUGUUUUUUCUUCCAAACUCAUUGUUUUAGCACGCACGCUGACUUCCAUCAGUAAUGAUGAUAUAUAUACACUGAGUCAUUGGUUUGUAGGGGGAAAGAGUGGGUGAAUAUAAUUAUCUUGGUCUAACUUAUACUGUUUAUUAUACCGCUAUUCGCAGCAAUAUCUUUCUCUGCUCCGAUUGCAACGCUGCCUCGUUCAAAAAUCAUAACACCGCCGCGGCCGCCACGUUUACCAGCCGGAGCCUCAAAUCAUGUCCCUUUGUGGUGAUAAAGAGGACACAGCCUGGUGUGAAGCUACACUUAUUACGGAAGGAUGCCAGCCGGGAUCCGAACACGUCCGAUAUCAUCCAAGAGAAUGUGGCAGCUGAAGGGGGAGAGGCCAAGGGUGAAGACAUUUAGCCACUCCCCCUGAAGUACAUGGCAUCAUUCAACCCUCUUGGUGAGCUGCAGGAAUGUGCUUCCCAUUGCAGUGCACCAGCUCCAUGUACUGAUUUUGGUGUGAACUUGAUGGGGUUGGAGGAAACUCGACUUGGCCAUCAAGCUCACCACAAUAUAACAUGAAAAGUGAAAAUUGCUGCACACAACAGUCUGUCGUCUGCACCGGGAGGCAAGGCAGCUCAAAGCCCAGGCUGUUACAAAUCCUGGGCAGUUUUUGCCCAGAGCCAGCAAUUUUUUAGAUCCAAUAGGGAUGGAUUUUUUCUGAGGUCAGGUUCAACAUGCUGCAAGAUGCCAAGAUCUAAGCCUAGUAGGAGAUAUGGGUUACAAGAGAGGAGGUUUGCUCUGGCCUUAUACUUUCAAAGUCCAAAUGCUAAUAGAUUUCUG